UAGUUAGCACUAAACGGGUUUUCCUUAUACAAUCAGUACAGUUAAGAGAGACUGCUCUAAAUUUAAAUCAUUGCAUUAAACUUUCCUGAUAUUGACAUGUCAUUGUGCUGUGUAAGCAAAAUAUUGUUAUAAACUUUUGUAGAGGGUAUCUAACUUUAGAAAGACCAAAAAUAGUUUUGGCUAAUGUAGUCUGAAGUGCAAAAGAAAUAGUGCGGAUUUAUGACAAUUUGAUGUAAUAGAUUACCAAAUAGACAAAAUUGGUAAUUUCAUUAUUUAUACAGUGCCUUAGGUGUUCCAUGGGGCUUUAUAAACCAGUAAAAUAACAGGCCCUCCCCUGAGGGGAUUAUAGUCCAAGGCCUCAGUUUUUCAAUCUGAUUUGCUUCUGUGGACUGUUAGUCUGCAUGGACCCUAACUGAAUGCAGUUGGACUCUGUGUAAGCCCACGUGUCUGUGUUUGUAGAUCAGUUUCCAGGAUCAGUGCCUUAAUUUGAUUGAUCAAUUUUAUAUGGAGUGAAAUCCUGGGCCCAGUAAACUCAAUGAGAGUUUUGCCAUUAAUUUCAGUGGGUCCAGGAUUUCACUUAUAGUUUUUCAAAUUUAAAUGCCUAAAAUUAAGCCAUAUCAAUAUUUAAACAUCUGAAAAGGGUACUGAUUUUUAGGCAUCCAGGUUUGAAUCUGGACCAACAGUUAAUGGUCUCGUUGAUUAUGUAACCUCUUGAAAAUUCAGAGUACCUAAAGUAUUACAUUUUUAUUCUUAUCUGUUCUAUGUCUUAAAGAAAAAAAUUGGACUCUUCCCACUAUGCCAUACUAAUUAAUUCAACCAUGGAUAUAGUAAAUGAAAUGAUUGAUUAUAUGGGAUCAAAAGAAGUUUUAUUUUUAAAUACAGAAUUAAACACAUUGAACCAAAUACACUGAUGAUGUAAAGCAAUUAUGAUGUCUCUGAUUUUAGUUAACUGUGCCCAUAGGUCCUGGCGGUGAACUUGGCCCUUGGUUCAUAGUAAUUUGCACUACUUAUUCCGUUUUUCAUAAAUAAAUUCUUUUUUCUUUAUACAGUGUUUUUGUUACUAAAAAAUGUAGUUGCAUGAAGAUGCAGAGACUACAACUAUGACUGCAGAUAGGCAAAUAUAAAGACACCUGAUAUAAACAGCUGAAUCAUGUUCUGUGCACAGUAUGUCCUACAUCCAUAGAAAUGAUUGCUUCUAACUAUGGCAUUCAUGGAAUCUUGAAGAGGGGAAGCAGGUGAUCACAGUGUCCUCAUAUGAGUGAAAAGCUACGUAAUUCGAAUUGACUUGAUUUUUUCAAGUAAUCCUAGAAAGGGGGAGCAUUCCAUAUAGAAACUGCUGAAACUGCCACAGGUGCUUCUCCGAAAACCUUACAGUUGUGGCAUUGAAUGUUCAGUAUCGCUUCCUUUCUGCACACAAGGCAUACU